GGAGGCCACUGCGGGGGACACUGUGGGGGCCACUGCGGGGGCCACCGCGGGGGUCUCUUAUGAAGCAAAGCACACUCUUAACAAGUAGUCCUUGGUAUUCACAAAAGGAAUUGAAACACGUCCACACAACCUGCCCCCCCCCAAGUUUAUAGUGGUGUUGUUCCCAAAUGCCCAAACACGGACGCCCUUCGGUGGGUGAAUGAAUGAAUAAGCUGUGGUCCACGCGGACAGUGGAGGGUUACUCUGCGCUACAAGGAGAUGAGCCAUCAAGCCGUGAAAAGACACGGACGAACCUUCCAUGCAGAUGAUUAAGUGAAGGAAGCGGGUCUGAAAGUCUACACACUGCGUGACUGCAACCACAGGACGUUCUGGAAAAGACAGAACUACGGCGAUGGUGCCAAGCCUGGUGGUUGCCUGGCGUCGGGGGAGGGAUGAUGGUCGGAGCACAGGACUCUUCGGGCAGUGAAACUGCUCUGUCAGCAGGUUACAGGCCUCACGGCUAACACAUCGGCUGCACAAGCCGAGGAACCUGGGGAUCCCCCCUGGACGGCGCCGAAGUCCCGCCUGCAAGGGUUGCUGGACUAAUGAUCUGUCACUUUCUGCAAACACUCAUCUCAGACCCACGAACCCACAGGUAAACAGUUUUCAGAGGAAAAAACGCCAGCCCGGUGCAGCUGUCCAGCUGGCGCGUCACACUCCGCUCCUGGCGGUUAACGAGAACGAGGCCAGCGGCCCGGAGGGGCAGGUGCCUCGGCGCCUGGACACACGCGGCUUCCGGGAACUCGUUCCGAGGAGGCAGACCCUUCCCACGCCUUUUCUCGCCUCACCGGGAACUCCCGAGAAAGUCCACGGAAGCAGCGCGGCGUGUGCAAAUACGUGCAUGGUUAACGCGGAAUCGCGUCACGCGUCUCUUCGGCCUGUGGCUUCUGCGCGUUUCCUCGCUUUCCUUCUACCGCACGGGAGGGGGUCUCGGGCGGCCCGAGCGCUCACUGCACGGCCAGACCGCCGUGUCCCUCGUUUUACGUUGCCAGCCGGUCGAGGCGGUGGCUCACGCUGGUUGCCUCCCCAGAACGCGCUCCCAACGAUCCCUAACGAGACAUCUCCGUGUGCCGAUCUGCAGCGCGGGGGGCGCGCAGCUGCUGGUGAAUCUAGAAGAGCGGCCCCAAGGGUGUGCGUGGAAGGCCCGGCGGUGGGAACUGCCGCGGGGACCUCGCCCGUUACAGUGCCCGAGCUUCUGACGCCUUCCAGGUGGUCGAAGCCGAGUAUUAGCAAAAUUCUGCCUUUCUCUAACUGGUGUGGAGAAAAGAGUAGUUCACACCGGUUUAACCCGGGACUGCAGACGUCCUGGCAAAACUGAGUAACUUUCGCAGAAGUUUGUUUUUGUUUCUUCUGUGAAUUCUUAUACUUUUCGGCGUGUGUUGGAAAGUUCGUUUCCUGUUGUUGCCAAGCAGUGACCAGACUGCACUGUCUCACCCAGCGAAGUGAUGUCCCCGCGGCUCUCCAGGCCAGAAGCUGAGCUGCCCCGCAGGGGCUCCGGGAACCACACGGGGUGUGGGCAGAACGCGGGUGUCUGUGGUGGCAGAGAGGACGCCCGUCUCCUGUCACGGGCUUAGGUGAGGGCUCACCCAGCUUCUGGAGGCUGCCUGCAUUCCUCGGCGGUGGCCCUGUCUUCACCGCCUCCCUCCCCCUCUGUCACCGUGUGUCCUCAGAGCCGGUGAGGACUCGGGUGCUCGCGCUGGGUCCCCCGGCACCCUGGGUGCUCUCCCAUCUCAGGGCCAUGUCUGUAACCCCUCCCGUCACGUGAGCCAGCAUACUCACGGUGUCUGAGAUUGGGGGAGACGCAUCUCUGGGGGGCAUGAUUUCACCUGCCACACUGCUUACGCUGGUUUUUCAUUCAUUUAUUUGUGAGUAUUACCAACACAAAUCCAUCGUUUUCCCAUCAUAUGUUUUAAGAAUAUUUUCUUCUUAAAAAAUGUUUUUAAAUGUCUUCUAUUUAUUUUUGAGAGAGAGAGAGAGAGAGAGAGAGAGAGAUUGAGAAUGAGUGGGGGAGGGGCAGACAGCAAGAAUCCCAAGCGGAUUCCGCAUAGGGUCCUGCUCGGGGCUUCGGGUCACAGACUGUGAGAUCAUGACAUGAGCCGAAAUCAAAAGUCAGACACUUAACCAAGGAGCCUCCCAGGCGCCCCAAGAAUAUUUUCUAUUAGACUAUCAAUAUGUCUUCAUUUUUGCCUUUAUCACAAGGAUUUUUAAUGUUUUUAGGUGAUGUGUGUUAUAGUUAUUAAUGACUUACUGGGCUUUAUUUCAUAUUCAGGGAAGUCAUAAGACUUAAAACAUUUUUAAAUGUUCUUCUAUUUUUGAUAGAAUUUUAACAGUUAUAUUUUGUUUUUACACGUAGAGCUUUAGUCAUUUUCAGACUGACUUGUGAAAGAUUUAAAGUAGGGGUGCCACUUUCUUCCUCCCCAGUUUUGCAGGCCUGGGCUCCUCCUACCCUGAGCAUUCCCAGGACAGGCCUGUGUUCAGGACCAGCCCUCAGCGGGCUCUGGGGAGCUAGGGGCCAGGCCCCUGGGGCGUCCUGUCUGCUGUGAGUGCGUCUGUAGCCUGGGGCCCUGGGACACUCUGUCUUUUAUGUUAACAGCCUGAUUUAUGAGGAAUGAGCUUUUGCUGGUGGGUGGGGGGCUCUGAGUGGCUGAGUUUAGUCAGCUGGGUGCUGCACCCCAGGCAUCCGGCCCCCUAACAGGCCCCCUUAAUCGUGGGGGGAGAACGCAACGUGACCCCGAGGCCCCACUGGCCAAGGUCACAGGAAAGCUCCCACCUGGUGUCCCUGGGACCUCCCAGACACCUGUUCCCUUUGUGGAUUUUCACCUUUGCCUUUUCACUUGAUAAACCUUAACUGUGACUGUGACAGCGGCCCGGUCCCGUGGUCCUCCCAGUGUCACCACGGCCGUGUCCUGUGGUCCUCCCAGCAGGUCCUUCGGAGGGUGUCAUUGUUCUAUUCACACUCACGGAAUAUUCACUGACAUUCCUCGAUUGCUCAGCUAGAACGGCCCAGCUGCUCAGAUCACCCACAAAAUGCCCAGCGUCGGGCGCAGGGCCGCGAGCCCGCAGGUAAUUUGGGAGACGCUCUGGUGUCAGCUACGAGUCUCCGACUCAUUGCUCGGUCCGCAGUAAUUUGCAGUUCUCGGGAUAGGAGACUUCCGUCUCUUAUUUGGGCUCAUUUCCAGUUAUCUGAGGCUUUUGUGAUGUCGCAAGUAGUAUUUUCUAAACGUUAUCUUCUCAGUGUUUCUGUUGCCCGUGUAGGAACACGAGUGGGUCCAGUCACAGGGCGGGACUCACGGAUCAGCUCUGAUCCUCCGGAAUCCCGCGUGAUGCCGGCAGCAUUCCCUCUUUAAGCGUGAAAUUACUUGUCAGCGAAGUCAUCGGGGCCAGAGCCGUUGCGUGCGUAUUCAGAUGACGUUAGAUUCCCGUGGCACGCGCUGUCUUACGCACGGUUUUGGUUUCAUUGUUUCAGUUUCUGUCGUCAGUGGAUUUACAUCUACAUGUUCAGAGUCAUCACCACUUUCUCGUAAGAUCCUCUCUUUGGUUUAAGUGUCUGUGGAAUCUGUAACGGUGUCACUGAUCUCAUUGUUCUUACGAACUUUUGUCUUCUCUGUUCCCAUGUUUUAAGUUAACGUUGCGGAGGAUUCACUGCUUUAGGUUACAAUAGUUGGAUAUUGUUUUGUUUUGCUAUUUUUGAUGUUAUAGAUUUCUUCUAAUACAAACAAUUUGUGGUAUUAUAUAGCCUUAAU